rnacentral:rRNA from 1 species
UAAUACAUAUGAAGCAUUAUUUCCCGAUAAAAAAAGAUCUAUUCUUUAUUAGAAUAAUAGUUAAUUUAUGUAUCAUGUGGAAUGAUUGUGCAUAAAAUAUUGAAUAGAGGUGAAAUGCCUACAAUUUUUUUGAUAUCUGGAUAGAGUACAAAAGAAUAUAGUUUCUAGGUAGUCGAGGAGUUAUAAGAUUCUUCGAAAUAUAAAAUUGUAGAUAAAGCGAUGUAUAGGAAUAAUUUUCUUGAUAUUGAAAUUAUAUUAGCAUUUAUGUCUAGAUCUAUUUAUUGAACUAUACUCUUCGCAGACUAUAAUACAAAAUGUUAGUUGAUAAUGUUUAAAUUAGUAUUUAUAUAUCUAUAUCUUGAUGAGGAACUCGGCAAAAAUUUUCUUCAACUGUUUAUCAAAAACAUAGCUUGGAGGAUUAUUUAUUUUAAGUGAUUUCUGCCCAGUGAAAAUUUUAACGGCCGCAGUACACUGACUGUGCUAAGGUAGCAUAAUAAUUUGGCUUUUAAUUGAAGUCGGGUAUGAAAGGGGAAAUGAAGAAUAUCUGUCUUUUUUAGAUAAGUAAAAGUUACUAAGGAAGUGAAAAUUCUUUCAUAGUGGCAUGUUAGACGAGAAGACCCUAAGAAUUUUUAUAAAAUUUAGUAUUGUACUUAUUAAAUUUUUGUUGGGGCAACAACUUUGGUAAACCAAAGUGUAUAAGAUACUUACACAUCAUACGGUUUAAGAUUCGGUGAAUAUUACCUUAGGGAUAACAGCAUAAUUAUAUUAUAUAGAUUGUGACCUCGAUGUUGGACUAAGGACUUGACUAAAUAGCCUUUAGUUAAGCUAGUUCUGUUCGAACUUUAAACCUUA